rnacentral:rRNA from 1 species
UACGUAGGGUGCAAGCGUUGUCCGGAAUUAUUGGGCGUAAAGAGCUCGUAGGUGGUUUGUCGCGUUGUUCGUGAAAACUCACAGCUCAACUGUGGGCGUGCGGGCGAUACGGGCAGACUAGAGUACUGCAGGGGAGACUGGAAUUCCUGGUGUAGCGGUGGAAUGCGCAGAUAUCAGGAGGAACACCGGUGGCGAAGGCGGGUCUCUGGGCAACAACUGACGCUGGAGGAGCGAAAGCCGUGGGGAGC